rnacentral:rRNA from 1 species
UGCAAGUCGAACGAUGAACCACUUCGGUGGGGAUUAGUGGCGAACGGGUGAGUAACACGUGGGCAAUCUGCCCUGCACUCUGGGACAAGCCCUGGAAACGGGGUCUAAUACCGGAUACUGAUCCUCGCAGGCAUCUGCGAGGUUCGAAAGCUCCGGCGGUGCAGGAUGAGCCCGCGGCCUAUCAGCUAGUUGGUGAGGUAACGGCUCACCAAGGCGACGACGGGUAGCCGGCCUGAGAGGGCGACCGGCCACACUGGGACUGAGACACGGCCCAGACUCCUACGGGAGGCAGCAGUGGGGAAUAUUGCACAAUGGGCGAAAGCCUGAUGCAGCGACGCCGCGUGAGGGAUGACGGCCUUCGGGUUGUAAACCUCUUUCAGCAGGGAAGAAGCGAAAGUGACGGUACCUGCAGAAGAAGCGCCGGCUAACUACGUGCCAGCAGCCGCGGUAAUACGUAGGGCGCAAGCGUUGUCCGGAAUUAUUGGGCGUAAAGAGCUCGUAGGCGGCUUGUCACGUCGGUUGUGAAAGCCCGGGGCUUAACCCCGGGUCUGCAGUCGAUACGGGCAGGCUAGAGUUCGGUAGGGGAGAUCGGAAUUCCUGGUGUAGCGGUGAAAUGCGCAGAUAUCAGGAGGAACACCGGUGGCGAAGGCGGAUCUCUGGGCCGAUACUGACGCUGAGGAGCGAAAGCGUGGGGAGCGAACAGGAUUAGAUACCCUGGUAGUCCACGCCGUAAACGGUGGGCACUAGGUGUGGGCAACAUUCCACGUUGUCCGUGCCGCAGCUAACGCAUUAAGUGCCCCGCCUGGGGAGUACGGCCGCAAGGCUAAAACUCAAAGGAAUUGACGGGGGCCCGCACAAGCGGCGGAGCAUGUGGCUUAAUUCGACGCAACGCGAAGAACCUUACCAAGGCUUGACAUACACCGGAAAACCCUGGAGACAGGGUCCCCCUUGUGGUCGGUGUACAGGUGGUGCAGGGCUGUCGUCAGUUCGUGUCGUGAAAUGUUGGGUUAAGUCCCGCAACGAGCGCAACCCUUGGUCCCGUGUUGCCAGCAGGCCCUUGUGGUGCUGGGGACUCACGGGAGACCGCCGGGGUCAACUCGGAGGAAGGUGGGGACGACGUCAAGUCAUCAUGCCCCUUAUGUCUUGGGCUGCACACGUGCUACAAUGGCCGGUACAAUGAGCUGCGAUACCGCGAGGUGGAGCGAAUCUCAAAAAGCCGGUCUCAGUUCGGAUUGGGGUCUGCAACUCGACCCCAUGAAGUCGGAGUCGCUAGUAAUCGCAGAUCAGCAUUGCUGCGGUGAAUACGUUCCCGGGCCUUGUACACACCGCCCGUCACGUCACGAAAGUCGGUAACACCCGAAGCCGGUGGCCCAACCCCUUG